rnacentral:rRNA from 1 species
UACAGAGGUCUCAAGCGUUGUUCGGAAUUACUGGGCGUAAAGGGCUCGUAGGCGGCCAACUAAGUCGGAUGUGAAAUCCCCAGGCUCAACUUGGGAACUGCAUCCGAUACUGGAUGGCUUGAAUUCGGGAGAGGGAUGCAGAAUUCCAGGUGUAGCGGUGAAAUGCGUAGAUAUCUGGAGGAAUACCGGUGGCGAAGGCGGCAUCCUGGACCGACAUUGACGCUGAGGAGCGAAAGCUAGGGGAGCAAACGGG